AUACUACUCCCUUCGUUCGGAAUUACUUGUUGCAGAAAUGGAUGUAUCUAAAUGUAUUUUAGUUCUAAAUACAUCCAUUUUCGAGACAAGUAAUUUCGAACGGAGGGAGUAGAAU
rnacentral:pre_miRNA from 1 species